AGUGAAUAGAUACCCAGGUAGUCCCAGCUGUAAACGAUGCGCGUUAGGUGUAUCGGUGACCACGAGUCACCGAGGUGCCGAAGAGAAAUCGUGAAACGUGCCGCCUGGGAAGUACGGUCGCAAGGCUGAAACUUAAAGGAAUUGGCGGGGGAGCACCACAACAGGUGGAGCCUGCGGUUUAAUCGGACUCAACGCCGGGAAGCUCACCGGAUAAGACAGCUGCAUGAUAGCCGGGUUGAAGACUCUGCUUGACUAGCUGAGAGGAGGUGCAUGGCCGUCGUCAGUUCGUACUGUGAAGCAUCCUGUUAAGUCAGGCAACGAGCGAGACCCACGCCAACAGUUGCCAGCAUGUCCUCCGGGAUGGUGGGGACACUGUUGGGACCGCCUCUGCUAAAGAGGAGGAAGGAAUGGGCAACGGUAGGUCAGCAUGCCCCGAAUUAUCCGGGCUACACGCGGGCUACAAUGGUCAGGACAAUGGGUAUCAACACCGAAAGGUGAAGGCAAUCUCCUAAACCUGUCCUAGUUCGGA
rnacentral:rRNA from 1 species